GGGAUAACCCGGCGAAAGUCGGACUAAUACCGCAUGAAGCAGGGGCCCCGCAUGGGGAUAUUUGCUAAAGAUUCAUCGCUGAUAGAUAGGCAUGCGUUCCAUUAGGCAGUUGGCGGGGUAACGGCCCACCAAACCGACGAUGGAUAGGGGUUCUGAGAGGAAGGUCCCCCACAUUGGUACUGAGACACGGACCAAACUCCUAC
rnacentral:rRNA from 1 species